rnacentral:lncRNA from 1 species
GUCCUACGGACACGCUACAGACAGUCCUACGGACACGCUACAGACAGUCCUACAGACAGUCCUACGGACACGCUACAGACAGUCCUACGGACACGCUACAGACAGUCCUACGGACACGCUACAGACAGUCCUACGGACACGCUACAGACAGUCCGAAAGACACGCUACAGACAUCCUACAGACAGUCCUACAGACACGCUACAGACAGUCCGAAAGACGCUACAGACAGUCCUACAGACACGCUACAGACAGUCCUACGGACACGCUACAGACAGUCCUACGGACACGCUACAGACAGUCCGAAAGACGCUACAGACACGCUACAGACAGUCCUACAGACACGCUACAGACAGUCCUACAGACACGCUACAGACAGUCCUACGGACACGCUACAGACAGUCCUACAGACACGCUACAGACAGUCCUACGGACACGCUACAGACAGUCCUACGGACACGCUACAGACAGUCCGAAAGACACGCUACAGACAGUCCGAAAGACACGCUACAGACAGUCCGACAGACGCUACAGACAGUCCGAAAGACACGCUACAGACAGUCCGAAAGACGCUACAGACACGCUACAGACAAUCCUACAGACAGUCCUACGGACACACUACAGACAGUCCUACGGACACGCUACAGACAGUCCUACGGACACGCUACAGACAGUCCUACGGACACGCUACAGACAGUCCUACGGACAAGCUACAGACAGUCCUACGGACACGCUACAGACAGUUCUACGGACACGCUACAGACAGUCCGAAAGACACGCUACAGACAGUCCGAAAGACGCUACAGACAGUCCUACGGACACGCUACAGACAGUCCUACGGACACGCUACAGACAGUCCUACAGACACGCUACAGACAGUCCUACAGACACGCUACAGACAGUCCUACAGACACGCUACAGACAGUCCUACAGGCAGUCCUACGGACACGCUACAGACAGUCCUACGGACACGCUACAGACAGUCCUACGGACACGCUACAGACAGUCCUACAGACACGCUACAGACAGUCCUACAGGCAGUCCUACAGAGACGCUACAGACAGUCCUACAGACACGCUACAGACAGUCCGAAAGACAGUCCGAAAGACACGCUACAGACAGUCCGAAAGACACGCUACGGACACGCUACAGACAGUCCUACGGACACACUAGAGACAGUCCGAAAGACACGCUACAGACAGUCCUACGGACAAGCUACAGACAGUCCUACGGACACGCUACAGACAUUCCGACAGACAGUCCGAAAGACACGCUACAGACAGUCCGAAAGACACGCUACAGACAGUCCUACGGACACGCUACGGACAGCCCGAAAGACAGUCCGAAAGACACGCUACAGACAGUCCUACAGACAGUCCUACGGACAAGCUACAGACAGUCCUACAGACACGCUACAGACAGUCCGACAGACAGUCCGAAAGACACGCUACAGACAUCCUACAGGCAGUCCUACGGACACGCUACAGACAGUCCUACAGACACGCUACAGACAGUCCUACAGACACGCUACAGACAGUCCUACAGACAGUCCUACGGACAAGCUACAGACAGUCAUACAGACACGCUACAGACAGUCCGACAGACAGUCCGAAAGACACGCUACAGACAGUCCGAAAGACACGCUACAGACAGUCCUACGGACACGCUACAGACAGUCCUACGGACACGCUACAGACAGUCCAAAAGACACGCUACAGACAGUUCUACAGACGUCCUACAGACAGUCCUACAGACACGCUACAGACAGUCCUACAGACAGUCCUACGGACACGCUACAUACAGUCCUACAGACACGCUACAAACAGUGCUACAGACAGUCCUACGGACAAGCUACAGACAGUCCUACAGACAGUCCUACGGACAAGCUACAGACAGUCCUACAGACACGCUACAGACAGUCUGACAGACAGUCCGAAAGACACGCUACAGACAGUCCGAAAGACACGCUACAGACAGUCCGACAGACACGCUACAGACAGUCCUACAGACACGCUACAGACAGUCCUACAGACACGCUACAGACAGUCCGACAGACAUGCUACCGUCCGACAGACAGACACACUACAGACAGUCUGAAAGACACGCUACAGACGGUCCCACAGACGUGCUACAGACAGUCCUGCAGACACACGCUACAGACAGUCCUAGCUACAGACAGUCCUACAGACACACGCUGCAGACAGUCCGAAAGACAGACACGCUACAGACGGUCCUACAGACACGCUGCAGACAGACACACGCUACAGAUGGUCCGAAAGACAGACACACGCUACAGACAGUCCGAAAGACAGACACACGCUACAGACGGUCCGAAAGACAGACACACGCUACAGACGGUCCGAAAGACAGACACACGCUACAGACGGUCCGAAAGACAGACACACGCUACAGACGGUCCGAAAGACAGACACACGCUACAGACACGCUACAGACAUACAGUAGCACCCCAGUAACUGCAUCUCAGUAAGCAUCAGUAGUAUGAUUGACUGGUAUGAUUGACUAGUAUGAUUCGCUACAGACAGUCCUUCAGACAUUCAUACAGACACGCUACAGACAGUCCUUCAGACACGCUACAGACAGUCCUACAGACAUUCAUACAGACAGUCCUUCAGACACGCUACAGACAGUCCUUCAGACACGCUACAGACAGUCCUACAGACAGUCCUACAGACAUUCAUACAGACACGCUACAGAUAUGCAUACAGACACACUACAGACAUUCAUACAGACACGCUACAGAUAUGCAUACAGACACGCUACAGAUAUGCAUACAGAAACACUACAGACAUUCAUACAGACACACUACAGACAUUCAUACAGACAUGCAUACAGACACGCUACAGACAUUCAUACAGACACGUUACAGACAUACAGUAGCACCCCAGAAACUGCAUCUCAGUAAGCAUCAGUAGUAUGAUUGACUAGUAUGAUUGAUUGACUAGUAUGAUUGAUGAGUUGAUUGAUUGACAGGUGUGUUUCUGAUGAUACCACUGAGUGCUGUACAGCUGAAGCCUGUCUGUACACUAACGUGACACCACAAGACUAUGAAAGCCCACUGAGCUAAUCUCCUAGGCAUUAGCCCAGGGAGCUAACACAAAUAUUGAGCUUAAUGCAGUCAAAACGUUGCAUGCAAUCAAGUAACCAGGAGCAGUCAUUUAACAGUGUAUUCCUGUUUAACCUCCAGGUCAGACCCCGCUCUCUCUUCCUGGCCACAGUCAUAUGCUACAAUGGCACCCUAUUCCCUACAUUGUGCACUAUAUAGGGAAUAGGGUGCCAUUGGGACGCAGCCCAGUGAGGACCCCCACACUGGCUCUGGCUGCAGUCCGCUGUUAUUCUAAAUGGUAGAUUUACCAAGGCCACUAGAGAAUUCCUCUGGGCUACAGCCAAGAGCUGGCCGGCCGCACGGGGAGAGAGAGGAAAGGAGGACGAGAACUCCACUCAACGGUUCCUGAGGAGCGACUCUUUCCCUCUCCUCCUCCCACCUCUUCUUACAGUUCAGAGGUGUAUGUUGGCCAGUCAUGGAGGCUCUCCUGCCCCUCUAAGCUUCGACAUGUCUAUUCAGAUGAUGUGACAUCCUAUUGCAGUUCAUUGUCUUCUCAUUGGGCACCAGGUGUGUCACUCCAUUAAUAAUGUAACUGACAAUCUGUUCCAUACUCUGUCACUAUCUUCUGCAUUUUGUGUUCUGGGAGAAAUAGUCUGAAGUGCUUCCUGUUUCUCAGUGUUCCAUACAGCAUGUCACUUCCUCUACACCCCCAGUUGUGCUCAUGGAUUAGCUGCCCUGCCAGAAUGACCAUACAGAAUGUGGUCUGGUAUGGUUUUAAUUCACCUGUCUGAUCAUGUGUAUACAAACAGUACUAUGAACUAAGGACUCAUGAAAUCAAAAUCAACAGAAAUGUAUCUUGAUAUCAUUAAAGUGUAUUUUUGUGUGGAUAUUUUGUACACUGAGUUCAGUCAUGAAGGUGUUGUGUGUUCAGUAGGUAGCUCUGAUCAUGAACUGCAUGACAACUCAGAGGAAUUAUAACCACUAUAUAAUACUGACACAUUGAAAAAC